rnacentral:rRNA from 1 species
CCUACGGGAGGCAGCAGUGAGGAAUAUUGGACAAUGGAGGCAACUCUGAUCCAGCCAUGCCGCGUGCAGGAUGACGGCCCUAUGGGUUGUAAACUGCUUUUAUGUAGGAAGAAACACUCUCACGUGUGAGAGCUUGACGGUACUACAAGAAUAAGGACCGGCUAACUCCGUGCCAGCAGCCGCGGUAAUACGGAGGGUCCAAGCGUUAUCCGGAAUCAUUGGGUUUAAAGGGUCCGUAGGCGGGCUAUUAAGUCAGAGGUGAAAGUUUGCAGCUCAACUGUAAAAUUGCCUUUGAAACUGGUAGUCUUGAAUUAUUAUGAAGUGGUUAGAAUAAGUAGUGUAGCGGUGAAAUGCAUAGAUAUUACUUAGAAUACCAAUUGCGAAGGCAGAUCACUAAUAAUAUAUUGACGCUGAGGGACGAAAGCGUGGGGAGCGAACAGGAUUAGAUACCCUGGUAG